UGGCACUUGGAGAGUGGCAAGUCUUCCAGUAUGGGGAGCAAAACAGCUAUGGGUCAAGUCCGAUAUCUUUAGGAGAAGUCUUAUUGUGAGGGCGAGUUAUAUAACACCAUAGGACUGGCCGUCCCAUAUGAAAAGAUUAUAUUAGAAUUGAAUGAAGCUUUGUUUAUAUAUUGAUAAUGACAGUAUAUAUAUCGUGUCUUGACUAAUUGCGUGCCAGCAGUCGCGGUAAUACGUAAGAGACUAGUGUUAUUCAUCUUAAUUAGGUUUAAAGGGUACCCAGACGGUCAAUAUAGCUUAUAAAAUGUUAGUACUUGACUAGAGUUUUAUGUAAGAGGGCAGUACUUGAGGAGGAGAGAUGAAAUUUCGUGAUACCAAAGGGACUCUGUAAAGGCGAAGGCAGCCCUCUAUGUAAAAACUGACGUUGAAGGACGAAGGCACAGAGAACAAACAGGAUUAGAUACCCAAGUAGUCUUUGCAGUAAAUGAUGAAUGCCAUAGGUUAGAUUGAUCAAUUAUAGUCUAGGGUUAGUCUAGCAAACUAAUGCCCUAUGAUAUAAUUCAAAAUAUCUGGUCUAUAAAUGAAAGUGUAAGCAUUUCACCUCAAGAGUAAUGUGGCAACGCAGGAACUGAAAUCACUAGACCGUUUCUGACACCAG
rnacentral:rRNA from 1 species